AGGUAACAGCUAGAAAUGGCUGCUAAUACCGCAUGAGGCCGAGACACUGGGAAGUGUUUUGGCGAAAACUCUGGUGCUUCAGGAGGGGCCUGCGGCCGAUUAGCUAGUUGGCGGGUAAGAGCCCACCAAGGCAGUGAUCGGUAGCUGGUCUGAGAGGACGAUCAGCCACACGGGAACUGAGACACGGUCCCGACUCCGUACGGGGGGCAGCAGUGAGGAAUAUUGGGCAAUGGGGCGGAAGCCUGACCCAGCAACGCCGCGUGGAGGAAGACGGCCUUCGGGUUGUAAACUCCUUUUACGGGGGAAGAGGAAGGACGGUACCCCGAGAAUAAGUCACGGCUAACUACGUGCCAGCAGCCGCGGUAAUACGUAGGUGACAAGCGUUAUCCGGAAUUACUGGGCGUAAAGCGCACGCAGGCGGCGCAUUAAGUCUGAUGUGAAAUCUCCCGGCUUAACUGGGAGGGGUCAUUGGAAACUGAUGUGCUUGAGGCGGUGAGAGGGGUGUAGAAUUCCCGGUGUAGUGG
rnacentral:rRNA from 1 species